rnacentral:rRNA from 1 species
GACGAACGCUGGCGGCGUGCUUAACACAUGCAAGUCGAACGGAAAGGCCCUGCUUUUGUGGGGUGCUCGAGUGGCGAACGGGUGAGUAACACGUGAGUAACCUGCCCUUGACUUUGGGAUAACUUCAGGAAACUGGGGCUAAUACCGGAUAGGAGCUCCUGCUGCAUGGUGGGGGUUGGAAAGUUUCGGUGGUUGGGGAUGGACUCGCGGCUUAUCAGCUUGUUGGUGGGGUAGUGGCUUACCAAGGCUUUGACGGGUAGCCGGCUGAGAGGGUGACCGGCCACAUUGGGACUGAGAUACGGCCCAGACUCCUACGGGAGGCAGCAGUGGGGAAUAUUGCACAAUGGGCGGAAGCCUGAUGCAGCAACGCCGCGUGCGGGAUGACGGCCUUCGGGUUGUAAACCGCUUUCGCCUGUGACGAAGCGUGAGUGACGGUAAUGGGUAAAGAAGCACCGGCUAACUACGUG